CAGGAAAUAGUGUAGUGGUUAACAUACCUGUUUUGGGAAUAGGUGGCGCUGGUUCAAAUCCGGCUUUCCUGA
rnacentral:tRNA from 1 species